GCUUGCUUGGUGGAAUGGUAGACACGACAGAUUUAAAAUCUGUUCCCAAUAUACAGGGAUGUUGGUUCAAGUCCAAUAGCAAGUA
rnacentral:tRNA from 1 species